GUACUGCACCACUGCUCUUAUGGGUGCCCCUUCACUUCCUGAAUGACAGGAAUAAAAAGGUGCCAGGUAUAAUAGUAAGAGGACCACAGGCUUCUAGAUCCUGCAAGACCCGGAGUCUUCCAUUUGACAGCGAUUAGCUCUCACUACUGAGAUCUGGUGCUAGCAGUUAUGAAACCUGAUAGCCGAUCAUCUCGGGCUUUCAUGUAAACCCUAAAGAAAUGUCCAAUGGCUAGCUAGACUUGAAAACAAAUGGCUAGCUAGACUUGGUUUCCCCUUUUGAAAGUCAAGGUGAAGAAGACUGAUGUUUUGAUGUAUUGGUUGCUAUCUGUAGGGAGCUUGUGAAAACUGGCUUUCUACCAGGCUGGUUGAACUGAGUUUCCCUUCAUUAACUCUGGUGUGAGUGGUGUCCCCUGGUCUGCUUUGCUGCCUCUGUCAUGACAUCACUUUCUGGCUCCUACAUCAUAACCUGCAGGUUGCCAUAGGAACAGCAAUACACUUUUUUUUUGGCAUCAUCACUAUUCAGUGGUUUAUUUCUCAGCUGAUGCUCAAUCAGUAGGGAGUGGAGGACGUGGUCUGUGUGGUUAUAUACAUAUAUAUAUAUAUAUAUAUAUUGUAUUUUAGUCUCUCUUGAGAACAUCUCUCAUCAUGGCAGGGGCAGAGGAGGAAAAGCCUAGUGGGAGGAGGCCCAUCACCUCCAGCAGCCUCAUGGUGGCUCGGAAGCUGCUGCUGUCUCCCCUGCUGCGGGAGCGUGGGGCUGCUUCCGGGAAGGACACCCUUUUCUUUGAUGGGCCAGCCCCUGUGGCUGGCCCAUCAAAGAAAAGGGUGAAGCACCCCAAAACAUCAAAGAGGCAGCCCCCCGCAGAAAGCAGCAGCAAGGGGAAGCCACCACAGGAGGGCAGACCAUCAGCCCUCCUGGGCAAGGCCGGUCUGCGUCGGGCUAACAAGGCACCAGGUGGGGGUGUGCCUUCUGGGGAGAAACCCCUUCCCCACCUGGGGGAGGGGAGACUCCCCAGAAGGAGGCUGGAGGCUGCGGGGGAUACAGCCAGGAGAUUGCUGCACAUCCCCAGGAGCAACCUGAGUCUGCACCUUGGGGAGGCUGGGCAGGGCGUCUCCCCGCUGGGGGGGAACCGUUUCUCGGGCUUGUCCCGAGAGACGGUUCUUCCCCAGAUCCCUUCAACUGGGAAGACGACCCUGACCCCAAUGGGGAGACCCCCGCCAAAGCCCUUGCCAUCAUGGCAACAUCCAUCUGCUUGGCGGGGGCCCGAACCAUUGCCAGCGCUCAUGAUCAAAGCGCUGGGGCCCCCCAAGGCAGACACAGAGCCUUGCUCCUGGGGACAUCCCCCCUCAGUCUCCAGCUCUGUGGCCAAACCACCGCCACCACACUUCCCACCGAAGCCACGCCCUUGGGAAGAACCACCAUCUCAUCUUUCCCAAGGGCCGUGGCUUCAGGUGCGAGCCCUACGCAGACCGGCUGAUGUGCCGGUGGCAACCCCUUGGCGGUGAGACAGCAGCAGUGGAAGGCCACCACCCAAAAUACCAUCGUCGGGGCUGCUGGAGGACCUCCACUAGGUCUCGCCCAUUCUGCCUUGCCAUGAUGGGAGAACUGGUUCUUCGCUGCCCUUGGGAUGAAUCACCAUCUCAACUUUCCCAAGGGCCGUGGCUUCAGGUGCAAGCCUUACAGAGACCAGCUGAUGUUCCGGUGGCAACACCUUGGCAGUGAGACAGCAGCAGUGGAAGGCCACUACCCCAAAUACCAUCAUCUGGGCUGCUGGAGCACCUCCACUAGGUCUCGCCAGUUCUGCCUUGUCAUGAUGGGAGAACUGGUCCUUUGCUGCCAUGAACCAAAGUGAGGACCCCUGUCCACUCUGGAUGAGACCUCUUCUGAGGAGCAGCAUUGGGUACAGAACCUGGACGUACUUCAGACCUCAGACGAUCCAGGACCCCCAAGAUCAUCUCAUGCCCCAAGGCCAGACGACUCACCAUUACCACCAGAUACAGUGGGAUGCCACCACCCCAAAUACCAUCAUCUGGAGGACUCACCAUUACCAGUAGACUUGGAUUCUGAGGGGUCAGCAAGGUGUAGAUACUGGAGCCUAAGAAGCAGGAAUAACACCAUCACUGAAUGGAAUUAACAGGAAGGACAGAAGAAAUUAGUAACUAUGGAAGCAGAUUGGCAGCCUUUCUUUGUCUUUCCAGAAGAGGUAAGAAAAGCAAUAUAUUUAUACGAGAGAAACCUUGAGUAUUGCACAGAUGAAAAACUGGAAGCAGAGUUCUGCCAGAAAGAGACUGUACUUAAGCACUUUCCCCCGUUUGAGGAGGAGAGCUUUCCAUUCCACUUUUCCCUUUCAGAAAAAUAUUCCCAUUUCCAUUUCCCUUUCCCCUUCCCCAAAAUAAUGAGGGACUUCAAACAGCAAAGUUUUGACAAACUCUCAACCUCCUAUGUUGCACAGCCUUUGGUGAAAUUAAUAGCUUUCAAUCUUUUUCCAGUUUCUUCUAGAUCUCCUAGAAAGGCUUCUGAUUGUGAAUGGCAGGUUGGGGGGGGGGGAAUUCCUGUUCCUUUUUGGCCAAAAAGAUUGUUUUAUGUUUGCUUUUCAAGGACAGGAAGGGAUGCUCUUGGACAGCCACAGGCUAGUCUUUCCUCUCUAGAUCUGCUCAGCAUCCUGAAUACUUCCCCAGAGAAGAGAAUGAAGAAUGAAGGACAGCUGGGUUGCCUGGAAAACUGAGCGUCAUCUGUGGAGCUUUGUUUCCAUAGCAGCUCUGAUUCAAGUGGGAAAGUCUUGAAACUGUCUUAUGGACUGUGACAGAGGAAAUACAACCUCCAUUUUGUGUCGGGACAUUCCUGUGCAUAUCGGAAAGACUUCAGCACUUUUUGUGCAUCACAGAAGAUAGGCUUCAGGAUCCAGACUAGGAGCUAAGGUCAAAGGAUUCAUCUCUUGGGUUGGUUAUCUAAAAAAUGUCGAUCCAUUUAACGUGGGAUGUAAACAGUGAAUUGGUUUCUAUACAUGUUUGUCUUUGCUUGUUGAAUGUGUACCAUUUACAUUUGUCUUGGUAGCCUGUUUUGCAACAUUUAAGUAUGUUGUGUAUAUAUAUAUAUCCUUUCAAUGUUCUGAGGAGAAAAUAACACACUUGGCAGACUGAAAUUGUGGCAACUUGUGAAUAAACCAUCCUCUGGU